rnacentral:misc_RNA from 1 species
GAUGAAGAACGUAGCGAAAUGCGAUAAGUAAUGUGAAUUGCAGAAUUCAGUGAAUCAUCGAGUCUUUGAACGCACAUUGCGCCCCCUGGUAUUCCGGGGGGCAUGCCUGUCCGAGCGUCAUUGCUGCCCUCAAGCACGGCUUGUGUGUUGGGCCCCCGUCCCCGGUUCUCCCCGGGGACGGGCCCGAAAGGCAGCGGCGGCAACGCGUCCGAUCCUCGAGCGUAUGGGGCUUUGUCACCCGCUCUGUAGGCCCGGCCGGCGCCAGCCGACACCCCAACUUUAUUUUCUAAGGUUGACCUCGGAUCAGGUAGGGAUACCCGCUGAACUUAAGCAUAUCAGUAAGCGGAGGA